rnacentral:lncRNA from 1 species
GGUUUUCAUAAGAUACCCAGGCAUUACUGAUGACCAGGAGAAUUUCAAAUAGACUGCAGAAGGACCAUUUGUAUGUAUCAGUAGCUCCUUAAUAGGAGUUAAUGGGACAUUUUAAAGAGAAACUCCAACUUCGAGGGACCCAGAAAGAAACAGUCCAGCAGAAGCGAAACAGGGCCUGCUCCACAGACUCACUCACUAAAGAGAUGCAGUGAUCCUGGCGGGCAGACAUAGAUGAAGAACACCGUGAGGGCUGA